UUAUGCAUUUGAUUAUUUUAUUUGAUUUGAUUUACUUUAGCCCUACAUGUAAGCAACGGGUCAGUAAUUAAUUUAAUUAAAGACAAAUCUGAUGACAUUAAUCGACCAAACGUGUGUGCUAGAGCCUAAUUAAGGCCUAAGGCUAGGCGUAGCUGAUUAAUUAUUAGCUAAUAAAAUAUGAUUAAUGCUAUCAUAAUACAAGAAAGUAUAGUAU
rnacentral:lncRNA from 1 species